rnacentral:rRNA from 1 species
AAUAAGCUAAUUAAGAGCGUAAGGUGGAUGCCUUGGCUCUCAGAGGCGAUGAAGGACGUGAUAAGCUGCGAUAAGCUACGGGGAUUGGCACACACAAUUUGAUCCGUAGAUUUCCGAAUGGGGAAACCCACUAUAUUGAAGAUAUAGUAUCCGUUAAGGAAGCAAACCCAGGGAACUGAAACAUCUAAGUACCUGGAGGAAUAGAAAACAAAAGUGAUUCCGCUAGUAGUGGCGAGCGAACGCGGAUCAGCCCAAACCAAAAUUGUUUCGGCAAUUUUGGGGUUGUAGGACCACGACAUUGAAUGUUUAAUGAAUUAGAAUUCUUUGGAAAAAGAAAC